ACGUAAGGCAGCAGUGGGGAAUAUUGGACAAUGGGGGAAACCCUGAUCCAGCGACGCCGCGUGAGUGAAGAAGUAUUUCGGUAUGUAAAGCUCUUUAGGCAGGGAAGAAAAUGACGGUACCUGCAGAAUAAGCCCCGGCUAACUACGUGCCAGCAGCCGCGGUAAUACGUAGGGGGCAAGCGUUAUCCGGAUUUACUGGGUGUAAAGGGAGCGUAGACGGCUGUGCAAGUCUGAAGUGAAAGCCCGCGGCUUAACUGCGGCACUGCUUUGGAAACUGUAUAGCUAGAGUGUCGGAGAGGUAAGUGGAAUUCCCAGUGUAGCGGUGAAAUGCGUAGAUAUGGGGAGGAACACCGGAGGCGAAGGCGGCUUACUGGACGAUUACUGACGUUGAGGCUCGAAAGCGUGGGGAGCAAACAGGAUUAGAUACCCUGGUA
rnacentral:rRNA from 1 species